rnacentral:SRP_RNA from 1 species
GCUGGGAGUGUGGCGGCUCCUGUAAUCCGGCUACUCGGAGGCUAGUUAUGAUGGAGGGUCUGAGAGCGGGGGUUCCUGUUGGUGCGGGACUCACGUUGACUGGGCGUCCGCGCUAAGCUCGCCAUCAAUAUGGACAUCCUGUCGAGGAAUCCAGGAUGCCCAGGUUGGCUAGGGAGAGGCGAAACGGGUCAGGGGGGAAACCCAGCAGCCAAAAGUCUCCGUGGCGGGCAGUAGCGGGAUCGCGCCCGGGAGUGGGACCGCAGUGACAGCCUGGUCAAUAUGACUCGACUCAUAACUUU